rnacentral:lncRNA from 1 species
GGCCAGCAACCAAGCAAAACAAAAAUAGCCUUUAGAAUUUCAACAGUCUUGUACAUCCUAUCAGUAGGAUUUCUUUCUAUGAUUUGAACCCUUUCUCCAUUAGAUCUGAGAUUUAUCUUUUGGGACCUAGAGCUACUCUUGAUGAAGCCUUAAAAAAUAAAAAGAUGGAAUCUGAAACUCUUUUUGGGCAGCCAAGAGGGGGUGCUCAAAACAGAGGCAUGCACAAAGGGCGGAUGCUGGUUUCUAGUGCCUCCUUUCUUUCUUUUUUGGGUUAACAGCCAAGAAACCCUAAGUUUCUUGGUUCUUAGACAUGGAGAAGACCACAGAGAGAGAGA